AUACAGAGGGUGCAAGCGUUAAUCGGAAUUACUGGGCGUAAAGCGCGCGCAGGCGGCUUGGUCAGUCGGAUGUGAAAGUCCCGGGCUCAACCUGGGAACUGCAUUCGAUACUGCUAGGCUAGAGUAUGGUAGAGGGUAGUAGAAUUCCUGGUGUAGCGGUGAAAUGCGUAGAUAUCAGGAGGAAUACCAGUGGCGAAGGCGGCUACCUGGACCAAUACUGACGCUGAGGUGCGAAAGCGUGGGGAGCAAACAGGAUUAGAAACCCUUGUAGUCC
rnacentral:rRNA from 1 species